rnacentral:misc_RNA from 1 species
CCUAGUGUUUCCUCAAUUUAGUGCAGUUUGAGUUUUAGAAACAAUUAUUAAUAGUAUCGUUUUAAGUUUCAUAAGGAUUAUCUGUUUAUUUGCUAAGUAAACAUUUUCAUUUAUGUUCUUGGCCAUAUUUUAACCUAUGUUGCUUUUAGGAUAUCAAUAAUCUACUUUGUUGCUAAGAAACGUGUAAAUAAACUUUAUUUCAAAGUUUUAACCCAAGUCUGUUGUGUUUUAUAGUUCAGUUAUUAACCUUAAGAGUCUGUUUUCUGUUGUAGGAUAAAAAUAGAAUAUUUCUAGAUGCUCUGCUCUCAGAAUAGUUAUAUUUAGCCAUUACUACAAUAAAAGCCAUAUAGAGGACAUUCCAAUGUAGUGUUUAUUUAAACAGUGUCACUAGUUUUAGUUUUGAAAAAUCAAUAGGCCUUAAAUCAUAGAUAUAUUUUCUUCUCAAGAAUUAUUAUUUAGUUAAUAAUCAAUACUUUAUAAAUGUGUUACAACUAUGUGCUAGAAACAUUGCUUAUAAACAUCUUAAAACACUAAAAAUGUAAUUUAAUUCAAUCAAACACUUGAAUUCAAAUUUCAAAUUUUAGUGUAAUGUUUGGAAUAGAUUCUUGUAACAACAUUAAAAACAUGACAUCUUAUAGUAUUGACUAUGAAAACCGAAGAUUUUCAAAAAACCAAAGGUCAAAAAUUGUUGAAAGUUUUAUAACAAACACAAUAGCAUGUUUGGGCCCAAUAGUUAUUCCUCCUUUACAUAUUUACAUCAUUUAUCAUUUCUGGAGACAGUACAGCAGACACGUUGAUAGACACUAUUGUACAUGCUCGUGCUGGGAUACAGUUUUCAAAGGAACAUACGAGUCAGGAAUAGCUUCGUAUAAACACGUCUAUUUCAACGCGACCCGGAACACAGGAAAAAUAUGGUCUCUGACUGCGCUGUGUGUGAUAGCUCUGUACGAGGCAGUGCGAAGGUUGGCUGUCUUGCUCCUCAACAACCGUCUUCGCCACUCCAUGCUGAUUCUCUUCCUUUCUUCCAUAUUUUCACAUUAUUAUUCUUGGUGGUCAUUUUUCAACUACUGGAACGACGACUUCUACUCUCAGUGGAAUCACCAACUUUUCUUUUCUCUAACGGAGUUGUUCUCAACACUAAUAGUCUUGCGAUUGGCUGAUUCUCGUGAGUCAGUCCGGCCGUUUAAAGUGCUACCAAUUGUAGCUGUGGCAGCAACGCACAUCGUAGCGUCUUCCUGGGACCAGUUCCUGGACAAUGUGGUCCGUGGUGAGGGCUCUGCCCACCAGGUUUUGAGAGAUGUCUGUUUUAUGGUGCCUGACAUCUUGCAUGUUGUGUUGCCUCUGUUGGAGCUCCUCUGCGUAUGCUCUCAUAGCCACAGCCUGCGCAGAGACUGUUUGCUGUUCUGCAUACUGCUCACUAUAGGUCUCGUCUUCAGCAUUUAUACCAACUCUGUUAAUGAUUGGUGAAAUGGUGGAAGGAUGUAUAGUAUCGUUCUAUUUUGUUUCGAAUCAGUUGCAUUCAUAAAUUAUUGUCAAUAAUACUGGUGGAAAAAAUUACUACCGCUAAGAUUUAACAAUGAAAAAACUAUGAAAAUAUAUUAGUAUACAGCUAUAACAUACACAGGCUAAUAUGGUAAUUUUUCAGAGUCAAAGUUAAACUUUUAAUAUAUGACUUAAAAGAAUAAAAAGACUCACAAAUGGACAAGAAAUAACUGUCAGUAGUCAUGUAUACACACACUAGCAAGGAAGAGGUUAUAACAAAGACUGGACUGUAUAGAUAGAUAAGGCAUAAGAAAACAUUUCAAAUUAGAAACCUGUGACUACUUAAUGGAGAAUGUAGAAAUACCACUCCUUAGUUCAGUGCCUAAGGUUGAUACUUUUGGACUGUUUCUUUUGUGAGUGUCAUAGGUAAAAACAGUCAUAGAAGAUAAUACAGUGUCUUCCUAAUGUUAAAUAGGAAAUUUUUAGGUACAUUUAUUUUUUUUCCACAUUCUAUUAAAAAAGUAACUGGACUGGCGUUGUUAUGUUGGACUUACAGCUUUGAGACCUAUAAUUUUUUAUAGUAGUUCCCUUCUGAUGCAAUGCCAUUUCCAUAAUUUGAAACAAAGUUUUGAAGUAACUUUUUUGAACAUCGUUUGUUCAACCCAUAGAAACAAACUCAUAUUGCUGUAAACAUUAUAAAAAAGUCCCUUGACAGAAAAACAGGAAAAAUAUGUUUUCCUCACUUUGCUGUAAUUUUGCUGAACUUUCUGGGUCUUUGAAUACUUAGAACUUUACACAUAGACAUGUAUACAACUAAUACACUCUUCACAGAGUACUCAUAUAAACUUUUAAUAUUAAAGUUUUGUUACAAGUUCAUCAAAGUUUUAAAAUGAAAUUGAACAAAAGUAGGCGGAAAAUGAUUAUUCCUGACAUGUUAAAAAUGCUAUGAAGAUGUUUUAGGAUGUGAAACAAUUGUUUCUUGACAGUAAUUACUGUAAUUACUGUCAAGAAACAAAUCAACAUAUUUUCAUCUAAAUACACAACUAAGAUUUAAGAAUGAGAAGGGUCUCUACCAAGCUUGUGCCUCACGUUCUGACUGUCUACAGACCAUUGAUAAACUAUCACAGGUUAGUGGGUCAUCUUGGAGCUUGGUUAAUGAAUUUUACCUGAAGAUCUAGGUAUGAGAAGGGUCUCUACCAAGCUUGCGCCUCACGUUCUUCAACAGAUCAUUGAUAAAAUAUCACAGGUUAGUGGGUCACAUUGGAGCUUGGUUAAUGAAUUUUACCUGAAGAUUUAGGAAUGAGAUGGGUCUCUACCAAGCUUGUGCCUCACGUUCUGACUGUCUACAGACCAUUGAUAAAAUAUCACAGGUUAGUGGGUCAUAUUGGAGCUUGGUUAAUGAAUUUUACCUGAAGAUUUAGGAAUGAGAUGGGUCUCUACCAAGCUUGUGCCUCACGUUCUGACUGUCUACAGACUAUUAAUAAAAUAUCACAGGUUAGUGGGUCAUCUUGGAGCUUGGUUAAUGAAUUUUACCUGAAGAUUUAGGAAUGAGAAGGGUCUCUACCAAGCUUGUGCCUCACGUUCUGACUGUCAACAGACCAUUGAUAAAAUAUCACAGGUUAGUGGGUCACAUUGGAGCUUGGUUAAUGAAUUUUACCUGAAGAUUUAGGAAUGAGAUGGGUCUCUACCAAGCUUGUGCCUCACGUUCUGACUGUCAACAGACCAUUGAUAAAUGUAUGUCAAUUUCUGACUGACAAUCAAAAAGAACUUCGAGUUCAAAAAUCUUGAGUUUUGAAAUAACAACUUGAAAUGAAUCCUGAUUUUCCGUCGAACGUCAUCAAUGGUGAUGAGUUAUGCUGCUACAGUUAUGACCAGAUACAAAGCAACAAUCAAGCCAAUGGAAGAUGGCAUUAUAUAAAAACAAGUUGUCAAGUCAAAUUAAUGCUUAUUUUCUUUUUUGAUGUGAGAGAGUUUGGGUAGUCAAUUGAGAGUUUCUUCUUCCAGGUCAGACUAUUAAUCAGGCAUUUUAUUUGGAAGUUUGAAGAAGAUUAUGCUGCAGUGUUUCUUGAAAAAAGACCUGAUUCGUGGCAGACUAGAGACUGGCUUUUCCAUCAUGACAUUGCAGCUGCACACACAGCUAUCUAUUUUACACACCUUACUUCCUGACCUAGCUCAAUAUGAUUUUUUGUAUUCCCAUGCAUGAAAAGGAACAUGAAUGAACUUAGAUUGAACAAUGUAGAUGACAUGAAGAAAAAAGUGAAGGUGCUGUCAACCAUUACCGAAGAUAAGUACAAACAUAUUUUUGAACAGUGGAAGCACCGAUUCGACAAAUGUAUAAAGUGUAAGGGAGAGUAAUUUGAAGGGGAUAAGGUAGUUAUAUAAAAAAAGUAAAAUACAUCUUUAAAAAAAUUAUUCUGGUUUUUUUGAGUACCCGCUUGUAUUGACAGAUUUAAAAUGAAUAUUAUUUAGCACUUUAUAAUAGCUGUUUAGUCAUAUCGUACAUUAGAAAUCGUGGACCACAUUUUUAUCCUUCUCGUGUUCUAAAACGGCACUCAUAUGGCUCUAUUUUCUGCUUGACAUAGUUUUAUUUAAAUAGUGUAUUAAUUAUGUACAAGUUACUUAUUUAUGUUAUGGAGUAAUAAGGUAAACACGGUGUUAUAUGAGGGUUUCACAAUUGUUAGAUAAGUUUUUACCAAUAAAAUACAUGUAAAAUACAAAUUAUUUGUUACAUUUUAUAGCUAAUUGUAUAGUUGUUCAAAGAUAUUAGGUAAAUAUAUUCUGAAACAAAUAAUUUUAACAAUACAUAAUUUUUUUAUUAAUAACAAUUACACAAUGCAAAACCAUUUUUAAAGAAAGAAAACAAUAUAUUUUUAUAUCAAAAGUACUUGCUCCAGGUGUACAAGGCAAAUGGAUUACUUGUUUUUAUAUAAAAUCCAUACUUUAAGUGAUACUUAAUUAAUUCUUAUCCAGUUACCUGUUCCACUAGGUUAGUUCCACAUUCCAGAUUCCAUUCCUUGUGCUUGUUCGAUUUGUGUGACCUGUGCUACACCCAAUUCUUGUACCUCUCGCAGUUAACCCAGUACUGAUGAUUUGUUUUCAUAAUGGGUGUUCAGUAUUUUAUUACAAUGUACGAGUAUCAUGUAUUAAUCGCUGAUCAGUAGUUGUAAGAAGGAAAAGACAAAAUUGUAGCCAUAAGGCUUCCAAGGGACCAAACUAUUCAGAAUGAUAAUUUUCUAAACAAUAAAUGUCACAACUUUAAUCGUGCACUUUAUACAGUAGGCCUAUGCUCAUUAAUUGUUAGCUUGAAAAAGCGUGUAUCUUUAUUUGAGCUGUAAGCAGGUAAUUUAAUGCUGUAGUAAAAUAUGGCUUUUAGCCUUUUUAUUGGCUUUUGUAAUUAACGCUAGAUCUGUGGAUUUAAAAAUGUUCAAAGUGGUUAAAUAUAUUUUCAGCAUUUUGGAAGUUUAUUAAAAAAAUCAACAUGCAUACUAUGUUAUACAAACGUUUAAUAUAGUUUUUCUGUACAAAUCUAGAUUACUGUUGUGUUGUAAAAUAAUGAAUGUAAAGAGUUCGUUUUGAGCUUCUUCUUCGCUGACUUCUUUUGGAUCUCUUAAGACGAACAUGACUCCAGAUUCCAAGAGUCAAGACUGUGACAGCACCAGAUUCCAGACACUGCAGUAAGAGAAAGGUGAACUGGAGCUAAACUCAACAUUUACAUUGAAUCAACCCUUCCCACCAUAGCUACAUUACGUGAAUGAAGUCAAAAUUACUUUUUACGGAAGAUUAAUGCACUUUUGUAUAACUUUGCAUCCUUAUUGUAUAAACCUACCAAUUAUUACUGUAACUCUUUUUAUAGCGUAGACACGAAAAGAAAAUAACCUUCCAAUGUUGUAAUUGGCCUGUCAAUAAAAUAUCCAUAUUAUAACCAAUAUAGCAAAUUAUUUGUGAUUUGGCGGUAAUAUUUUGUAUAUACCAAAGUAUUCUUUGUUUUAUUUUAGUAAGUACGAUCAUUCUAAUGUAUCUAGCCAGGUGAAAACUCAGUAUAUUAUGUCAUGGAAUCUCUUCUUUUGAUAGUUUUCAUGCAUCAACAUGAGAGCGUUAAUGACACAGAUCUAGGGUAAUCUGUUAGUUUUAUAAUUACAAUGACAACGCACUGUCCUCUCAUUCCAUUCGCCUAAUCAGCUAACCUCCUGUUAUUCCUAGUUCUUAGGCUUACAUGGCUGCUGUCUUAACUAAUAUCAAAGUCUUCGGGUUCACACCGAGUUGAAACAUUGCUUGUUAACGUAUGUUUAACCAAAACUAGUUUUGUACCAUGUAGUGUGAAUCAAAUGACUUUGGUGUUAGUUAACUCCAAUUAUCUCUAUGAAUACCUCGACUCUGUAUUGUUAAGGGCCUCUCUAUGUACUUUCCUUCUGUGCUCGUCGUCGUGUACUCAUGAAGCUCUGUGCCGCCACACGGGAUCUUAAAUAUUUAAGCCAUUGUUUUCUUUUUCACACUUUACUACCUUGUGUGCGAUAUUGGAACAUGUUUUAGACACGGGUAUGGCUAUUAAAUGUAUGAAUAUUUAAAACCUCCUCCAACUGUUCAUCUAUUCUCAUCCCAAGGAAAUUAACAGAACAGGUACAUGUUUAUCAAAAACCCCACAAAUACUUAAGGACCCAUGUGUAUGCACAGUGUUUCUACAGUUACAUAACAAUAAUUAUUAAAUGUUGCUCAGUGUAGUAUUAUUGUACAUUGGUUGAUGAACAGUAAUACCUCAUUUUGUGUAAAUAUUGACACAAAUAAAAAAAAAAAAAAAUUGACAACACUUUUAAUAUACAGUAGUAUUUAUGUAGAAAUUGUUUUAGCUCUACUUUAAAUUUAGUAUGAUAUAUUUUUUCUCUGUUAUAGUUGUGGUUUGCUCCCAAUUUUUUGAUAUUUAGGUAUUUUGGGUUUUUAAAUCCUCCUUUAGAUUGGCCUGUAUGUAUACUAACAAAUGUAACCAUCAAAAACUUAGUUUUGCCGUUACAAAAUAAAUAACAGAGAAAAAACAAAUAUAGAAAGUACCUACCAAUAUAGUAUUGUACAAACUUGUAAAAUAUUACCGUAUAUUGAUUCCUGUGUACAAUGGUAAUUCUAUUUUUGAUCACUAUGCAACUAAAAUGCUCCAUGGCAACCUGUCUAGCAUUCGUCCAUAAGGCUCCUUUUAUGUGACUCCUCUUGAGUCAAAAACUUUAGAUAACCGAAUUUGAAAAUUAAUCACAAACUAAUCAGUUAAACUGAAAUAACGGGAGAUACAUUAAAAUGAAGUUGGUUUACUUUUGGAUUUAGAUUUAUAACACAAAUUAUUAUUAACAAACAAUAACUUCUGGUUUUUAUUUUGAUAACAACAAAAAGUUACCAGUUUUUUUGUGCUUUUAACCAAACUGCAACUUGAUUUCGGAAAUUCAUAACUUGUAAGUAUGAAAUUCUAAAAUUUCAUACUCGUAAGUAGUACUUUUAUAAGAGGUUGGUCGUAUUAGGUUAACAAGUUUCUGAGGGAUGAAUUUUGAAGUUGCAGUUUCAUUGAAAAGUACCUAAAAAAGUAAUACCUUUUUCGCUUUUAUCAAAAUAAAAACUAGGAACCGAGAGUAGCUUCAAUGUACUCUACUACUAUUGGCCAUAGUGAGCUUUACACAUGAACAGUUCAUAAUUUGUGUCACAUGUCUACCUCUCAGUUCAUAAUUUGUGUCACGUGACUACCUCUCAGUUCAUAAUUUGUGUCAUGUGACUACCUCUCAGUUCAUAAUUUGUGUCACGUGUCUACCUCUCUGUUCAUAAUUUGUGUCACGUGACUACCUCUCAGUUCAUAAUUUGUGUCACGUGUCUACCUCUCAGUUCAUAAUUUGUGUCAUGUGACUACCUCUCAGUUCAUAAUUUGUGUCAUGUGGCUACCUCUCUGUUCAUAAUUUGUGUCAUGUGACUACCUCUCAGUUCAUAAUUUGUGUCAUGUGGCUACCUCUCAGUUCAUAAUUUGUGUCACGUGACUAUCUCUCAGUUCAUAAUUUUUGUCAUGUGGCUACCUCUCUGUUUAUAAUUAAUGGCAUGUGGUUACCUCUCAAAUCCCAUUUCAUGUAGAGAAACUGGUGGCUACAUACAAGUUUUUUUACACAGUACAGUUUUGGUCGCAUGGUACUGGUCUAGAUUAGUUUUUAAGUUAUUGGGCUUAUUUUUUGAGAGCCACAAGCAUAUUUUUUUAUAAGUCUUAUCUUAAUGAAACAGUGAAUGUUUUAACUGGCCGAAUACAGGAUUACUCAUGUAGGUGUCCUAUCAGAGCAACCUAUCACUGAGAUGAGUGCUCAGAUCUUCAUACUAUGAAGUUGACAAAUGGAGUAGCUGAAAAAGUUCCCUUUGUCUUUCUUGCAGUCUUUUCCUAAAAUAUGGAAACAACAUUAAUUUGUUAUUGUUAGAGACAGCGAAUGCAAACAUUUCUUUUAAAAUAGUGUUCAACAGAUAAGGCACAAUAAAUUUAAACUGAAGAGCUAAAUAACUGCACAUGAAGGCUGUAUUGCAUGUAAAGGUUAUAAAAAGAGAAUGGCAGCAACCCUGUCAUGUGAAAGAGAUCAUAGAAAUAAGUUUUCACCUUUACCAAGCUUGAUGUUUGAGAUGGAAUCUGUUAAAGAUUCUAUGUAUCUGAACAAUGUCAAAGCUUUCACUGGUGUUCUGAUUUACAAGUACCUCACACUAAUGUGUAUUCUGUGUCAGUUACAAAAUCUAUAUAUUUUUAAAAAUAUUGUAAAUGAUGUAUAUAUUGCUGACUUUAUGGUAGUAGGUUAAAUAUAUUGUUUUGGUGCUUGUUGUAACUGCAUAAUUGCAAUCUGUGUAUUUUAUUCUUAUCUUUAUUUUUCUGAAUAUAUUGAUAUCUUAUGUCGAUCUUAGUUCUAAGAAUUACGAGGCCGAUGUCAUCACUAACAUCGAAGUUGUCCGGUUCACGCUGCAGUAAACAUUGCUUAUCAGAGGUGUGCAAGGGUGAGGCGGUGGUCAGACUGGGUGCCAACUUUAAGGGGGGAGGCGGUGGUCAGACUGGGUGCCAACUUUAAGGGGGGAGGCGGUGGUCAGACUGGGUGCCAACUUCAAGGGUGAGGCGGUAGUCAGACUGGGUGCCAACUUUAAGGGGGGAGGCGGUGGUCAGACUGGGUGCCAACUUUAAGGGGGGAGGCGGUGGUCAGACUGGGUGCCAACUUUAAGGGGGGAGGCGGUGGUCAGACUGGGUGCCAACUUCAAGGGUGGGGCGGUGGUCAGACUGGGUGCCAACUUCAAGGGUGGGGCGGUGGUCAGACUGGGUGCCAACUUCAAGGGUGAGGCGGUGGUCAGACUGGGUGCCAACUUCAAGGGGGAGGCGGUGGUCAGACUGGGUGCCAACUGCAAUAUUAUUUACAUGUGAAGAUAAAGUUGCAACUUACCCCUUUUGAAAGGUUAUCUGCCAGGCCUGUUGGCUACUCAAUCCGCUGCGGUGGCGCAACAUCUACCCUGAAAGGUGGCCUCUAUGCUUUAGGAAACCGCUAUCCUACCCUGGGCUUUCCUACUUUUACUCUAAGUGUGGCCUCUCUGUGCUAUACAGGCACCGCUAUCCUACCAUGGGCUUUACUCAUUUUACUCUCAAUGUAGCCUCUCUAUGCUAUACAGGCACCGCUAUCCUAUCCUGGGCUUUAUUCCAAUUGCAGAAAGCUGUGCCAGUAGGUAUGUGUAUAAUUAGAUGUUCAAAAGUGUUCAGUUCAGUAAAGUGGUUCUUUCCAACAUAUCAAAUCUUUGUUUUGAUUGCUAUUUUUUCAUAUUAUUAUAUAAUUAAAUUUUGAGCAUUAUGAGUUAAUUUAAAAAAACUACUUUUAUCAUAACUAUUUUAGAUUAUCUUAAGGAUAAUAAUUGACAAUUUCAUAACACAAAAUUCCACUCUUUAAAUUCCUUACUCGUCCAUGUAAUAUUUUUAUAAUUAAAUUAAAUUUAGAUUACCCCUGACCAGUUACAGUGGGAAGUUAACGUGUAUCUGGUUAGUCUGUAGCAUUUUCAAAAUCUUCCGUGUUUAUAUUUUUAUUCAAGUAUAUGUUUUUAGGAAUAAAAUGCAGAAAACACUUUAAUAAGUAUUUAUGAUUUCAAAGCAUUUUAAAGAUACAUGCCAAAUCUGAUAGGAAUAUAGUUUAGCUGUUUAAAUAAAAACUGCUGUUAUGUUUUUAUGAAUGAAUUAACUAUUUAUUCGAAAUUUUUCUGGAUGUUCGCUUUUUCAGGAAAUGUAUCCACAAACUUUUUAGUGCUCUAGCAAAUUGUAAUUGUGUUCUUCUUUGACUUUUCAAGUGUGCAGGUAAACUUAUGUUUUACAUUUAGACUUCCAACUUGGUAAAUUUAAAUAAUAGUUUUAUUUUACUUUAGGCGUGAUUGUUUACAUGUGUACCCUCGAUAAUGAAACAGAAUGCCGCCCUGGGUGCUAGAUAUCCUGGGCAUGCCACUGUUGUUUAUACAUUCAUGUUCUUGGAAUAUUUUGGCUCAGUCCCUUCAGCACAUCCAUACAGACUAGUGCUUAUUUUUGUCUGAAGAUGGAUCUCUACAGCGAGACCGAAAUAUUUCAAGAAUGUGAUUGUGUAAGUGAUGUUUAUAUAAGGUGUUAACUGGAAGAUUUUGAUGUUAAGAAGCCUCUAAUGUUGAUGUUUAAUAUUAGUAGAUAAUACCAUACUCUUUGAUUGUCAUCGAUGGUUGGUUUUUAAAAUUAUAUUGGUUUAAUGUUUUA